CACUCGGGCAGCUUUCACAAGAUGCAUGGGCCUUACCUGGAAAGAUUCUGACUCUGUUGGUCUGGGCUGCGGUCUGUCAUGGGUAUUUUUAAAAGCUCUCAGGCAAUUCUCUUGUAUGGCCAAGGCUAAGAAAACUCUGAUGCAGACUGGCAGUUUGAUUGGCCGGUGCCAGUGCCCAUGUAUGUGGCUGAUGUUGGACCAAUGGACUUAAUGGAGCUUUUGCGGUCACUGAGGUAUCUGUCAUCAACUUCCACAAUCCAGCUCAGAGCCUUCA